AGACGAGGACAUCGUUCCAUUGCUAUCAGAGACCUACCGCUCUAUAGUGAUUCAGGACGAACAAAUAGAACGUAUGAGGAUUAUGGAACUAUGAUAUUCCGGUAUCUCUAGAAUCAUUCAAUCGGUAAAAUGUGUUUACCUUUCGUUAAUAAUUAUCAAGAACGUUCUGUUAAACUUAAGUUAACUGCAUUAACUCAUGUGAAUGAUGCAAUGGUUACCAUUAGCACUCUGUUAAUUGCAGGUCAACCAUGUUAACAUAUAUGAACGAUUAAACAAAGGGGUAUGUUACUGAUUAAUAGCUCAAGUGAACCAUGUCAUUUCUUAAUGAAUAAAGAGAAUUUGUGUUCAUCUUCGAAGAAUCAGAAUAAUUGGAAAGUUAUGUGAAUCCAUAUGAAUUUGAAGUUAUUUUGUUGUGUUACAUAUGAACUCAAAGUUAUUCAGAAUCUAUGACAUGAACGCAAAAGUUUAACAUCAUUAUGUGACCCACAUAAGAAUGUGAAUUAUUCUAUUUUGUUAAGCGCACGGUAAUGACAUGAUAUACCAAGAAAUGCUCUAUUUUAUGAUAUAUGACUCUAUGAAUUAAUGAAUGAUUAUCCAUAUAUGUAAAAGUAUUCAUGGCAUCCUUAGCACAAGGCCCUUACCCGGGGGUAAUAAUGCCGUGGUCUUAUGGUCCUUGCCCGAGGGUAAUAAUACCGUGGUUCAAGUAUGUUACAAGAUAUCUCUUGCCACCGACGGUCUUGUACGGGUGGGUUAUGUUUUGCCAUCGACGGUCUCGUACGAAUGGUACCACCGACGGUCUUGUACGGGUGGAUUAUGUUUUACCAUCGACGGUCUUGUACGGAUGGUACCACCGACGGUCUUGUACGGUGGGUUAUGAUCAAGCAUGAACUCUGAUUUCUGUUUUUGAUUCAAGCAUAAGUAAGAAUAUGUAUGAAUAUGUUUCUAUUUAUCCGUUCCGUUUAUGCCAUGUUAUAACAUGAUAUGAAUUGAUCGAUUUUUAAGACCUAAUGAUUUCUGGUAUGGAACAAAGUGCUGUACGGAACUAAGUGCUGCAAUGCGAGUCACCUCUAGAAUCCGUACGAGACACCUCUUGAGUCCAUACAUAUGUUCAAGGGCUUAAU